GAAUUUUGGACAAUGGGCGAAAGCCUGAUCCAGCAAUGCCGCGUCCAGGAUGAAGGCCUUCGGGUUGUAAACUGCUUUUGUACGGAACGAAAAGCUUUGGGCUAAUCCCCUGGAGUCAUGACGGUACCGUACGAAUAAGCACCGGCUCACUACGUCCCAGCAGCCUCGGUAAUACGUCGGGGGCAAGCUUUAAGCGGAUUUACUGGGCGUAAAGCGGGCGCAGGCGGUUUUGUAAGACAGAGGUGAAAGCCCCGGGCUCAACCUGGGAACUGCCUUUGUGACUGCAAGGCUAGAGUACGGCAGAGGGGGGUGGAAUUCCGCGUGUAGCAGUGAAAUGCGUAGAUAUGCGGAGGAACACCGAUGGCGAAGGCAACCCCCUGGGCCUGUACUGACGCUCAUGCACGAAAGCGUGGGGAGCAAACA
rnacentral:rRNA from 1 species